UAGGGAAUCUUCGGCAAUGGACGAAAGUCUGACCGAGCAACGCCGCGUGAGUGAAGAAGGUUUUCGGAUCGUAAAACUCUGUUGUUAGAGAAGAACAAGGACGUUAGUAACUGAACGUCCCCUGACGGUAUCUAACCAGAAAGCCACGGCUAACUACGUGCCAGCAGCCGCGGUAAUACGUAGGUGGCAAGCGUUGUCCGGAUUUAUUGGGCGUAAAGCGAGCGCAGGCGGUUACUUAAGUCUGAUGUGAAAGCCACCGGCUCAACCGGGGAGGGUCAUUGGAAACUGGGAGACUUGAGUGCAGAAGAGGAGAGUGGAAUUCCAUGUGUAGCGGUGAAAUGCGUAGAUAUAUGGAGGAACACCAGUGGCGAAGGCGGCUCUCUGGUCUGUAACUGACGCUGAGGCUCGAAAGCGUGGGGAGCAAACAGG
rnacentral:rRNA from 1 species